CCCGGGUGGGACGGCUUUUUCCACUCACCAAACGCUCCUCCUUUUUUCCUUCAGCCUCUUCUUCGCCUCUGUUUUCUUUCUUUCUUUUCUAUUUUUUACUUUUAUUUUCCUAAAUAUUCUAUAUUUCUUCUACUCUCCCUUCAGACCUCUUCUCCAAAAUUCUCCACUACUUUGAUAAGUUUCCAUAAUUCUUUAUGCUAAACUUUUAUUCUGCUUGUCCAAUCGAUUUGGUCUUGAAUUCCUAAUAAUUUGCUAAUUUGUUGCUCGACAUUCAAAUUUCCUUUUUGGAUCCAUUUCGUUUUCAAAAUGAUACUUCAAAUUUUAAAAUUGUCAUACCUUCUAUGCUUUUUUUCUUUCAUGUUUAUAUUUUUGACUUAAUUUUUCUUAGAUUUACUCUUUUAUUCCCACCAAUUUUAUACAACAUAAUUUCUUUUCUUAUAUCACACUCCCUAUAUAUGUCCACUCAUUUUGAUAUGAGGUAUUGAUUGAGGAAAUUGCUUGCUUUCUUUGUCUUGUUGUGAGUUACAGUAGUUUGCUUAUAAUGGUUUUUGAGAGUUGUUUCUGUAGAGAGUUGUUCCCAUAUGGAUCUUAGAUUGAUAGUGUAUAUCCAUUUGUUUUUGGAUAAUUGUUGGACAAGAAGAUAAUGAGAUUAUGGAUAUGCUUUUCCACGGCUUUCUUGAACUAUGGACUUGUUUGGAUUUCUUCUUUACCUCUUCUUUUAUUAAGGAAAAAAAAAGAAAAAAUCUUGAGAAGAGAAGAAAGGGGAAGAUCAUUUAGUGCAAAGUUCAAGAAAGACGUGGGAAAACAUAACAGGUCUCCGAAUUCCACACGUUCCAUUCCUCUGCAAAUUCAACAAGUUUUUACUGUUGCAGCUCUGAAUUCUAAAAUUCCGGGUGGGAAGUCAAUUAUCAGGGGAUUGGCACAAAUUUUGGAAUGUACAUUGUAGGAUUAAAGCAAGAAGUGGAUGGCUAUUGGGGGAUUCUAUGAAUUAUUCUUUAACAGCUAUGAGGAAAGCGAUCAGCUUUUGGCGGUCUCUGAUAGUAGCAGCACUGAGCAGGGGCAGAGGAAAUAUCAGAAAGCGAAAGGUACAAAAGGAAGAAUGUGGGGAAAGGAAAGAAGAAACUCAUGUGAGUCCUGUGCAAGAGGGGACUUUACAACUCACAAGCACACAAGACAUGAAGAAAGGAAGCUGGACGUAUGUAGCCUUUUUUUAAAAAGAAAGUGCUUGAGAAAUACUCACAAUCCACGUCUAUCCCAUGAACAAAGAUCCAAGAGAUUUGCAUGCAAGGUCUUUCAGAUGUAUUUUAUAAAGAGACAUAUUUAUUUUCUUUUUCUAAUCACAGCUUAUGGGCGAGUUUAGAUGUAAAUAGAAGAGGUCAUGGAAGAAGGUACAUUGGAAGUGGGAUUCAGUAAGUUUUAAAUGUAGGAGAUAGAUUGCCUUUAUGCCCUGAGAAAUGACUUGUAACUUUAUGGACUCACUUCAUGAUGGUAGUUGCGUAAGUAGUGAAUACGUAGGUUUUGCGGAUUUUAGUGACUACCAAAUUUUGAAAGCUGAUGAACCAAAAAGAAAAAAAAGCUAUUCACUUUCUUAAAUUAUAA